GGUUAAACUAGGGAUGCAAACGGAUCCGGGUUGAUGGAGCUUCCGCCCCGAUCCGUUCCGAUGGGGCAGUAAAUUGGAGAAAAUAAACGGAUUCGGGGCGGGAAACGGAGUAAAAUUUACGAUCCGAGACGGAUUUGGGGCAGGAAACGGAAAAAAUUUUAACCCGCUCCGAAUCCGCCCGCCAUGAUCUGCCCGAAUCCGCUCCGAAUCCGUCCCGAAAAUCAUUUAUAUUUUAAAAAAAAUAUUCCUUAAAAAUAAUGUAUUUACAAAAAAAUUCAAAAUACAAAUAACUUAGUACCCUUAUUUCUAAUGUAUUUGAAACUUUUGAAUUUUAUUUUGAAUUAUGAUUGAUAUUUUUUAUUUUUAUAAUUAAUAUUAUUAAAUUAAAUAUAUAAUAUUAUUAAAAAUUAUUAAUUUAUAUUUUAUAAAAUAUUAAUAAUAUUAUAAUUUUAUAAAAAAUAUUAGUUGGCGGNNN
rnacentral:lncRNA from 1 species